AAAUUGAAGAGUUUGAUCAUGGCUCAGAUUGAACGCUGGCGGCAGGCCUAACACAUGCAAGUCGAACGGUAACAGGAAGAAGCUUGCUUCUUUGCUGACGAGUGGCGGACGGGUGAGUAAUGUCUGGGAAACUGCCUGGUGGAGGGGGAUAACUACUGGAAACGGUAGCUAAUACCGCAUAACGUCGCAAGACCAAAGAGGGGGACCUUCGGGCCUCUUGCCAUCGGAUGUGCCCAGAUGGGAUUAGCUUGUUGGUGGGGUAACGGCUCACCA
rnacentral:rRNA from 1 species